rnacentral:rRNA from 1 species
UACGGAGGGGGCUAGCGUUGUUCGGAAUUACUGGGCGUAAAGCGCGCGUAGGCGGCUUUGUAAGUUAGAGGUGAAAGCCCGGAGCUUAACUCCGGAACUGCCUUUAAGACUGCAUCGCUAGAAUCGUGGAGAGGUGAGUGGAAUUCCGAGUGUAGAGGUGAAAUUCGUAGAUAUCAGGAGGAACACCAGUGGCGAAGGCGGCGACCUGGGCCAAUAUUGACGCUGAGGUGCGAAAGCGUGGGGAGCAAACAGG